ensembl:lncRNA
GUGAGAGAAAGGGGAUAGAGGAAAAAAAGACUAAGUGUGAGAGAAAAGGGGAUAGAGGAAAAAAAGACUAAGUGUGAGAGAAAAGGGGAUAGAGGAAAAAAAGACUAAGUGUGAGAGAAAAGGGGAUAGAGGAAAAAAAGACUAAGUGUGAGAAAAAAGGGGAUAGAGGAAAAAAGACUAAGUGAGAGAAAAGGGGAUAGAGGAAAAAAAGACUAAGUGUGAGAGGAAAAAAAGACUAAGUGUGAGAGGAAAAAAGACUAAGGAAAGAGUGAGGAAAGAGGAAAAAGAACAAAGUGCUGCUUUACUCUUGUGUUUGAUUGUUUCAGAUGCUGAGAGAUCAAGCGGUGGACGUUCAUAGAGGAGAGAUGCUGAGAGACCAAGUGGUGGACGUCCAGAGAGGAGAGAUCCUGAGAGAUCAAGUGGUGGACGUCCAGAGAGGAGAGGUCCUGAGAGAUCAAGUGGUGGACGUCCAUAGAGGAGAGAUCCUGAGAGAUCAAGUGGUGGACGUCCAGAGAGGAGAGAUCCUGAGAGACCAAGUGAUGGACGUCCAGAGAGGAGAGAUGCUGAGAGACCAAGCGGUGGACGUCCAGAGAGCAGAGGUGAGUUACACAUUGUCACACAUUGCUGCUUUAUUCAUGUGUUUGAUUGUUUCAGAUGCUGAGAGACCAAGUGGUGGACGUCCAGAGAGGAGAGAUCCUGAGAGAACAAGUGGUGGACGUCCAGAGAGGAGAGAUCCUGAGAGACCAAGUGGUGGACGUCCAGAGAGGAGAGAUCCUGAGAGAUCAAGUGGUGGACGUCCAGAGAGGAGAGAUCCUGAGAGAUCAAGUGGUGGACGUCCAGAGAGGAGAGGUGAGUUAAACAUUGUCACACAUUGCUGCUUUAUUCAUGUGUUUGAUUGUUUCAGAUGCUGAGAGACCAAGCGGUGGACGUCCAGAGAGGAGAGAUCCUGAGAGAUCAAGUGCUGGACGUCCAGAGAGCAGAGGUGAGUUACACAUUGUCACACAUUGCUGCUUCAUUCAUGUGUUUGUUUGUUUCAUAUGCUGAGAGACCAAGUGGUGGACGUCCAGAGAGAAGAGAUCCUGAGAGAUCAAGUGGUGGACGUCCAGAGAGGAGAGGUGAGUUAGACAUUGUCACACAUUGCAGACAGUAGACUUUGUUGCUUUACUUAUGUG